rnacentral:rRNA from 1 species
CCUACGGGAGGCUGCAGUGAGGAAUAUUGGUCAAUGGACGAGAGUCUGAACCAGCCAAGUAGCGUGAAGGAUGACUGCCCUAUGGGUUGUAAACUUCUUUUAUAUGGGAAUAAAAUGUUCCACGUGUGGGAUUUUGUAUGUACCAUAUGAAUAAGGAUCGGCUAACUCCGUGCCAGCAGCCGCGGUAAUACGGAGGAUCCGAGCGUUAUCCGGAUUUAUUGGGUUUAAAGGGAGCGUAGGUGGAUUGUUAAGUCAGUUGUGAAAGUUUGCGGCUAAACCGUAAAAUUGCAGUUGAAACUGGCAGUCUUGAGGACAGUAGAGGUGGGCGGAAUUCGUGGUGUAGCGGUGAAAUGCUUAGAUAUCACGAAGAACUCCGAUUGCGAAGGCAGUUCACUGGACUGCAACUGACACUGAGGCUCGAAAGUGUGGGUAUCAAACAGGAUUAGAUACCCUUGUAGUC